rnacentral:rRNA from 1 species
CCUACGGGAGGCAGCAGUGGGGAAUAUUGGGCAAUGGAGGAAACUCUGACCCAGCAACGCCGCGUGAAGGAUGAAGGUCUUCGGAUUGUAAACUUCUGUUGCGAGGGAAGAAGAGUGACGGUACCUAGCGAGGAAGCCCCGGCAAUCUACGUGCCGGCAGCCGCGGUAAUACGUAGGGGGCCAGCGUUGUCCGGAAUGACUGGGCGUAAAGGGAGUGGAGGCGGCCUAUGAAGUUCUAGGUGAAAGCCGCCGGCGUAACCGAGGAACUGCAGAUAAAACUGGCGGGCUUGAGUGCUGGAGAGGUAAGCGGAAUUUCUGGUGUAGCGGUGGAAUGCGUAGAUAUUAGGAAGAACACCGGUGGCGAAGGCGGCUUACUGGACUGUAACUGACGCUGAGGCUCGAAAGCGUGGGGAGCAAACAGGAUGAGAUACCCGAGUAGUC